GUUAUCGAGUACACAGCAGGAAGUUUUGAGAGAGAGAAAAUGGACCAUCCUUUCAAAACGUGCUGCUAUUGAAUACAGAUCGCCCCGUGAUCAAUUUGAUCGAUUAUUAACGUUUACUAAUACCUAAAGUUGGAUUACAAAAGUAGUUUGAAGUGUUUUGUCAAAGUUUAUAGGCAACUUUUUUUAUUUAAAAAAAUGACGUUGCGUUUUGGAACGGUGCUUUUUCAUGGAUCAGACAGGCUUCAUAAAUGGACAUUUUGGGUAUACAUGGACGGAUUUAAUCGAAAAAAAGACCCAAUUGUGAUGUUUAUGGGACAUAUAGGAGUGCCAACAAAGAAGCUCGUCAAAGAGCAUACAACCAUUCCGACAACCAUCCAUGAAGAUCAGUGGACAAAGGGCUGGACAAUGGGCCACACCGAAAAAACUCAUGGUUGCCAAGAAAUGGCUUCCUGAAAUCCCUCAAGCAGCUGAUUGGUCGACUCCAGGGCUAAUUGGAGAGCUGACCCCGCCCCCUCGUCAAGACACAGCUGUCUCCAAUUACCCAAUCCUUCAGAAGCUAUAUAAAAGCCAGUGUUCUGUUCAGGAGAUCUCUUUUUGUAGAGGAUUUUGCUGGAGGUAGAUUUGCUAGAGAGAUUUGCUGGGAGGUCAUUGUAGAGAUUUUGCUAGAGAGAUUUUGCUAGAGAGAUUUUGCUGGAGGUUGAUUUUGCUGGGAGUUCAUUGCUGAGAGUUGGUAUGUUUUGUGAGUUUGUUGCUCAGAACUUAUUUGAUGUCCUUUGUCUCUUAGUUUGUUUGUGAAAUUGUUUAAUAUUCUGUUUCAUUUGUUCCCUGGGGGGAGGAAGGGGAAGGCACCUAGGGAGUGCUUAGGCAAGAGGCCCGCGGGCAUACAUAUACCCGUAGCAUAUUCGCUGUCUAGGCACACUAGGUAAGACCUGGGCGG
ensembl:lncRNA